AACGAACGCUGGCGGCAUGCCUAACACAUGCAAGUCGAACGAAACCUUCGGGUCUAGUGGCGCACGGGUGCGUAACGCGUGGGAACCUGCCCUUAGGUUCGGAAUAACUCCCCGAAAGGGGUGCUAAUACCGGAUAAUGUCUUCGGACCAAAGAUUUAUCGACCUUGGAUGGGCCCGCGUUGGAUUAGCUAGUUGGUAGGGUAAAAGCCUACCAAGGCGACGAUCCAUAGCUGGUCUGAGAGGAUGAUCAGCCACACUGGGACUGAGACGCGGCCCAGACUCCUACGGGAUGCAGCAGUGGGGAAUAUUGGACAACGGGCGAAAGCAUGAUCCAGCAAUGCCGCGUGAGUGAUGAAGGCAUUAGGGUUGUAAAGCUCUUUUACCCGGGAUGAUAAUGACAGUACCGGGAGAAUAAGCCCCGGCUAACUCCGUG
rnacentral:rRNA from 1 species